CAGUUCACAAAUAUCCAAACUUACUCAGUAGAACCGGAACCGCGCGAAAAAAGAAACGAGGUUUCCAAAAGAAAAAACCGAGGAAGUAAACCCUUGAAGAAAUGGCGGAAAAAUUGGCACCGGAGAAACGCCAUAGCUUCAUCCACAACCCUCUCUCUCUCUGUCUCUUCAAUCUCUUGAUCAGAAGGUGUUCGAGUGGGACCAGACUUUGGACGAGGUGAACUUGUACGUAAACCUUCCGCCCGACGUUCAUCCGAAACGAUUAUAUUGUAAGAUACAGUGGAAGCACGUCGAGCAUCAAGGGCAACCGUCCGUACCCCAAUGUUCGUAACGUUCGUUGAUGUGUUGGAAUUACUGGGUUUGAUGUCUCAGCACGAGCUUACGUGUCCGGUGAAGACGGACUCUUCUUUCUGGACCCUAGGUACCUCAGAUUAAGGAGAUUGAUUUUAAAUAGGAAUGGAAUUUCUGAAGCAUCAUCGCAAAACAUGAAACUAAAUAAACUUGUGAGGCCUGGUCCUGCUUGCACUGUUUUGACAACCAGCAGGGGGCACCUCAGAGUACGAUCCCUUGCGGUUUUGACUUCUCACAAGCUCAGUUUUCUGGGGCCUGUCCUGAGAUCCAAGGACCUUCAUGGGUGGAAUACGCUCUGGUUAACAAUCUUGGUAUGAUGCAUUGAUUGCUUGGAGUAGUGUGCUUGAGAUAAAUAAAAUGGUUCCAUGUGCUUAUUUCCCACUUGCAAAUCUCUGUAACAAAUGAAUUAACAUCACUGGAAUUUCUAAUUGCUUGUGUAGUUUAAUUUA